UAUGGCAAUAAAAGAAACAUUUCAUCUGUCAACUGAAAUUUCGAGGAAUUUGUUUUUGGUUUGGCUUCAAAUUUCCUUUAAAAAGUGAUGAAAAUGUCGAAGAAACCUCUUCGAUCGCAAGCAAGACAUAUUUUUUUCAAUGUUUAUCAAAGAAUACUUGGUCAACAAGAUGCAGAACAUACACAAUCAUCGAUAUUGAGCCAUGUGCAAGCGUUGACUGGGGUUUCUUAUACUACAAAUAAACUUGGAUAGUUUUGAUUUAGAAUUGAUCAGAAACAAGAUAAAUGAGUUUUACACUGUUUCUUUCUCUCAAAUAGGGAUCGAUGAAUGGCGAAAAUCUUGUGAACAUGUAAUAAAAAUUGAAAAUCAGUUCAUAGAACAAGAUCGGUUAAUUGAGAUGCAGGGGGAAAGGUUUAUCAUAAAUACUGCGUUGAAGACUUUUUUAUGGAUGUGCAGUAUUUGGAACCAUUUUCAAGUUCUUAAUUAAUUAAUAAACUCGUGAACAGAGUAA